rnacentral:rRNA from 1 species
UACGGGGGGGGGCAAGCGUUGUUCGGAAUUACUGGGCGUAAAGGGCUCGUAGGCGGCCAACUAAGUCAGACGUGAAAUCCCUCGGCUUAACCGGGGAACUGCGUCUGAUACUGGAUGGCUUGAGUUUGGGAGAGGGAUGCGGAAUUCCAGGUGUAGCGGUGGAAUGCGUAGAGAUCCGGAAGAACACCGGUGGCGAAGGCGGCCUGCUGGGCAGUAGCUGACACUGAGGCGCGACAGCGUGGGGAGCAAACAGG